GGUAGUGAUGGUGACGGUGGCGGCGGUGGCGGCGGCCGUUCUCGGAAGAGGUGGCCGCGCCGUGAAGACGCGCGGGGGAUGGAAAAACGACAGGGAAAGCUCGUAGCGGGCUACCGGUUACUACGCGGACGCAUGCCCGCUGAUAGCUCAGUGGAGCGCGCGACUUCGUGCCGUAAGCACAUUUCCUGCGAGUGGAUCUCUCUCUUCUCUCUGCCCCUCUCUUUCUCACACGUACACACAUACAUACGUACACCCUAUAGCUCUCUUUCUCUUUCUCACCCUUUCUGCUCUUAUCGGAUGUGUAAGUGUAGGUACGCGUGUGCGCGUUUCUUUCUCGCCUCCCCCUCGUCUUGCCUUGCUUCACCUCACCCCUCCUCUCCUCUGCUGUCUGUCUCCACCUCGGCUUUGCUCAUCGCCGCGAGGACGGCAGGCACAUCCGCCGGCAAAUAAAACCCGUGUUGGGCGAUGCGGCGGCGGGGGUGGUGAUAAUCGCGGAAGAAAGGAAGCAAGAGGAAACGUCGGGCAUCCUAAAGGACCUUUCAUGCGUAUAACAUCGGGCUAGCGAAACGAAGAUCAAAAGUAAUAACGAGGGGUUGUCGAAAAGAUAGUGAAUAAGAUUUAGAGGGAGAAAUAUUUAAAAAUAAUUAAGAGACGCGCGCGAAAAAGUAAGGUGGAAAAGAAGAUAAAAUUUGAACAAAAAUGAAAGAAUCAACAAGAAGAAGGGAGAAUAAGGAAGGGAGAGGAAGAAGAGAGAGAGAGAGAGAGAGAGAGAGAGAGAACAUCUGUAAUAUCAGAAAAUCUUGAGUUAAAACGGCAUGUUUGUGUUUUUUCUUCCCAGAUGUAGAGCGAGGUGCAAAUAUCUUGUAAAGUGCAACGUAAUAAUCCUGUUUCGUAAAAAAAAAAAAUUGAAAUUGGAAGAAAGCUACGGAGCUUCUUAUAAAGAGUCGUGAAGAUUGCAGAUUUCAUCGAAGUAACGUGACGAAGAAUAUAAAACGAGAAGAGAGAGGAUCUACUUAUUUUUUCGCGUAAUCCAGGAGAAAGAAUCCACGACAGAACGUUGAUCACGAAAUCUGCGAACAGUAAUGGUCGAGGAAGAUAUAAAAAGGCAAAGAGGAGAAGAGAAUUACGGGUAAUGACAUAAAGUAAAAAUAUUAAGUGAAAAUCGAGUGUCACAAGAUGUGAACCAUAAAGUGAUUUCGAAGUGACAAGCGUAUUGAACACGAUCAAACGGCGAGAUUCUGCUUUCAGCUCCGACCUCUCUUCCAGUUUCGCUCGUUCCAUUGUCAAGAGUAUUGAUAUUUCGCUACAAACACUCAAAGACUCGUAACUGACACCGAAAGCAUGAGAGACAUAUAUUUGUCCCCGACAAAAGAUGUGUCCAAGAGCUGAUCUUAGGACUCGCUCAAGUCACUCGCCGAGUGCCAGGGGAAAGAAAAUAAUAAACGAAGACCGACAAGCACGCGGAGGAUGGAAGCAUGAUUCUGAUACCGCAAGUCCGACGAACUCGACGGAAAACUAGAAGAAGAUCGACCUGAGGUCGAAGAGAGAUCGACGACGAGGGUGGAAUGACGAGAUAUUGCGGGGAUAUGGAUACCCUCGAGGACGGCGGAGUCGGUCGAUCGCGAGGCUCGAAUCUGUUGACUUAACCGUCUCUAAGGGGAAGGUGUCUCGGUAUGCGUCCGAUGGAACCGGACGGGACGUUGUCGUACUUCUGUUUAAGUUACACAUUACAAGAGAUUACGUUCGCGACAUGACUUCGGCAAAGAAAAUUACCGCGUAUCGUUGACGUCACUCGCAGAAUAUCAAUGUCCUCGAAGGGAGACUCGCGCCUUUCGCUAAUGUCGUCGCAGGAGAUUAUUUCGAGUCGGCGUCGAUCUCUGAUAUUUUCUGUGGCAUGUACGUGACCCCAACGACGUGGAAAGACAUUUGCGGCAGCAUAGCCUCGAAAAGACCCGCUACUGAGGGCGGUACAGCCUUGUGCCCCUGGCACGGUACCGUUUCCUGAAGAACGAGGCUGAGUGUGUGUGCAUGUGUGUAUGUGUGUAUGUGUGUGUGCGAUUGUGUGCAAGAGGAAAAAACACGGGAAACUCAAAGGUACCUUUCGUGCGGUGGUACCUGCGGCUGAGUGUCUCUUUAAAUCGCUUCAAUUGCCAACGUCUCGUAUCUGGUGCUUGCAAAACCGUAUCGGAUCGUCCAAGAUCAAUUGUGCGAGUCGAUAUCAAACGGUACCGUUCGAAGGAUGAAACAAUCCGGCGAAGCAUCGUGAGGAGUAGCAAAAGAGCGCAUGUAUCUUGGUCGUUAGACGAUGACCGAUUGGCCGUCGUCGUGGUGGAGAUGACUACCAGGUUAGUGGCUCGUCCUGAAGACGACGACGACGACGACGAGGUCCACGAAGGGGCACAAGACUCGGCCGUGGGCUAUCACUGCCACUGAUAGAGCCGGCAUCUCGUCGCAGCUCACAUCGAUGCCGACUGCCACAUCCACGAAACAAGGAAUGGGGAGUGUCGGCAGCAACGUGACAGGGACGACGACGACAGAUCCGACGACGUUCCUGCCAGACGCAACGCCGACUCUAAGCGAGCGCGAACAGGUCAAAAUCGAAUUUUACAAAACGUACGACGUCAUGACGGGGGUACGGAUCGCCGCAACCCUCGGCGGCUUUUUCAGCUUGAUGGUGUUGCUGGUAGUUUAUAAGAGCAGAUGCAAAGCAAGCAAACAACUGGAAGACCCGGCUUUGACUGCGGCGGCAGCCGCGGCGGUUGCGGAAGCUGAAGCCGAAGAACGCGCACUCGCCGCCGCUCUUGAGGCGAUCGCCAGGUUACCACCCAGGCCGGGGCCGAGAGGGCCAAGAAGAUCAUUGUGCGUCGAGAUGAACCAGGCUCAUUCACCCGUGGUGGCACCUCGCUUCGCCUCAGUCGGAGGUGGAUACGACGCCCUGCUGGCACCGCCAAUCAGGCAACCGAGGUUGGCUCUCCCGGUCGAUCACAGAAGAUGUAGCUCGGUCACCUGUAGCAGCACUGGAAGUAGUUAUCUGGAACGAAGGGGUUCAGCCAUGGUAAUGCCGUGCCUUCCACCUCCUCCAUCCUACCCGCGUCACGCCGCCUACGAUGAGCCAUGGGAUUUAUAUUAUCCUAUCGAUAUCCAGGUAAUACAGCCAACUCCGGAUUUAUCGCCAUGCGGUAGCGAGGUCGGUCUUUAUGCCGGUGCAGUCGGCAGCCUUAUGGCGGUAUCGUCGGGGAAAAGGGCGCCGUUGGCAUCGAUGGGUAGCAUGGAUCCCCCCGAUCCGGACACAAGGUCGCUUGGCUCCGAUUCCGUCUUCCUGAAGAACGAGGACGAGGAGCAAUGCGUCGACACUGAGGACGAGGUCUCGGGUUUUUCUACGGACUCGGACGCGCCUGGGCCAAGUUGUCGGCGGUUCCUACGGGUGCCUUCUAAGAAAAAACGAAUCCCCGAGAAAUGGGAUGGAUGCGCGGGCUGCGUGCCCAGGCGACGGGCCGGUAGUAAACCAUGCCAAGAAUGUUUGACCAUCAGUGCCGCCGUCGAAACCUCUAGGUCGCAACCAGCCUCAACGACAACCAGUAGCAGUCAGAGUAGUGUGGGAUCCCCACCGUGUUCACCGCCGAUCGAGUUGAGGCACAGACCACCACCAGCGCCAUUACCAUCAGUCCCGCAAAUAUGGUCCCAAGAAACGCUCUUUUAGGAUGCGUCUUUCGUAGUGAGCAUGUCCUUCGACCUGUUUUUAUCGAGAUACGAAGCUAAAACCAGAAUGUCGAUAUCUGAGGAAAUCAUUUGCCCAAAGAAUUGACCAUUAGCUACUCUUUCAUUGUCUAAAAAAUAAUUUUUUUUUUUAGUCUGUCGCCAUAUAUAUUUUAUGCAAAUUUUAAAAUUUAAUCGCCAUAUCGGUGAAUAAACUAUUCAACUAUUACUUCACGGAUGCAACAAUUGCUGUGUGGAAUUUAUGUAAUUCUAAAUUUUGAGAUGCAACGAAAUUAUAAGCAUACAACAUUAUAUCAUUGGACACUAUAAUCUUUACAAAUCGUAAAAAUAAAAAAAAAGUUACGUCAAGUACAAAAGCUAACCGAUGAAGGGAAAAGACGGUAGAACGUACCAGAGCGAGAUGUGAAAGAAAAUCGUCAGAAAGCAUUUUCUCGUCCGAAUGUGAGGAAAUAUCGGAGAUUUUUGAUAUUACGGCAGUGACUGCCGUUCCAGAAUCGGAGCAAACCCAUCUUAAAGGUAGUCUAAAUCGAUCAUUUUACGUUGACUGUGUGGUACAUUCCAUGGCAAGCACGCAAUCCGUGUCGGAUUACCCGCCCGUUUAAACGAUGCGUCUACGAGUCGCAAGACGGGGCCGACGGCGACUUAGUCUAACUAUACCCAAGAUCUCAUCUACCGACAUAUUUCAGACGUCUGCCUAUUCCCCGUCAUACACCAGAAGAAGUUCGCGAACAAUGCAUACUCGCGCGGUCGGGUUUAUUUGAAAGUUCACAUAACAGCAUUGUGAAUCUAACAUAACCGCCAGCAUCCCAACCAGCACCAGGGAAGGUACGCGCAAUUUAUCUAGCAUCGCGCAAACCCCGUGCUCCACCGCAAUCUCAUUUUGUUGAAGAAAUUUCGGCGACUUGAUUAUUUUCCGUCAUUCAGUCAUACUUUCGACAUAACACGGCCAGGCGCACAUCAGCAUCCGUGAUUCAUUUAACAACGAAAACAAGCAAAUGCUUUUCCUCGUUUAAGACAUUCGUGGCGUCCCAAUUGGCGACGAAUUGCCGUUCCAAUUGGCGUUCGACCGUUCGAGAUAUCGAGCGGUCGAACUUGGGAUAAGGACGCAUGGUGAUCUAUAUCGCACAAAGGAAUAUCUGAGAAACGAGUGGAGAAACUCGUUCCAAUCGAUCAGGGUGAACCGCGUUAACUCACAACUCAGGAGACUGUCGAAGGAAGGCCGAUCGACAAUGUCGCGGGAAAAAUAGGGAAUUAUUUUUAUACAAGCGCGACGAUAAUCAAGCUCGUUGAACUGAUCGUGAUGCUUCUCGUGAAAACAAUAAUAUGCGCGCAAUACUCGAUUGUACGUCAGUGUAACAUGUGAUUAUCAACGAGACGAGCGGAUGGGAGAGUGAAACAGAAAGAAACGAGAGAAAGAGAGAGAGAGAGAGAAAGAGAGCGAAAGAAAUCUGAGAGUGAAAAAGAGAAAUAAGGGAAAUAGCACUUUCUUUCGGAUAAUCGUCGAAUCGGUCGUGAUUUUCCCGACAGGGCAAACCACCGAUUCGCCGUCGAUCCAACGUUUCCCUAACGCGAAGAAACAAAACGUAUUUCUAUUCGUGUAAUCUUGUAAGCUCUGUAAGGUUUUGGGUGUACGUGUACGUGUCUAUAAUCCUCUUGCGUACGAUAGAUAAACACCGUGCUCGAUGGAGGGGAACCGGAAACAGAGCGAUAUUGCUGUAAACGAUCUCGGUCAAUCAGAGUUGCCGAAUCAUCCGUAUCGAGUUUCCUAAUCAUCCGUAUUUUUGAAAGGUCUAUUUCAUCGGUUGCACCGCAAAGUUGUUUAAUAAAUUUCUAUCCGGGCUGGGAAUAUAUCGAUCGCUUGAAUAUUCCGGAAGCAAACAUCCCCGCAAUUAGGUCCGAUCUAAAUAAAAAGUAAAAUACUCGAAAGAGAAAUAAGAAGAAGACUAUAUAAAAUUGCUUUAGUUCCUUAUAUAUGUAAUCCCCGUCAAUUCAUCAGUGAUAUUAGCUGACGAGAAGCUCACUGGGUGUAGAAAAUCGAGUUUAUUAAAAUGUUAGAUUGCGUCUCGAUGUAAAGAACAAAAAGAUAAAAAGAUAUGUAUAGUAGAUGAGACAUAUUUAUCGUUGACAAGAGCGACUUGUGUCUAUUUUCGAUAAAACGUAGUUGAACCAGGCGAAUCAUAUAUGCCUCUAUGUCUACAUCUGGAGAAUUUUCCGUGGAGGCUAACAUCACUGCCGGUCAGCCCCUCCAGGCACACGACGAUAAACGAAUAAAAACAAAUAAGAGAAAAUACAGUAAGAUACAUUUACGUAAAAGCAAAACGAGCGCACGAGGGCUACCUACCGUUGUUCUAGUCAAGAGUUUGUAUAGUAGACAAAUAAGACGAGCCGAAAAGUUAUUAUAUCGGGAUAAUAAAACAAGAAAAAAAGAGAAGAAAUAUAACGUAAUAAGCGCCACGCACGCAGUGCUGCGACCGUUACUUUUAGAUAGGUGUACAUACACAUCGUGUUACGAUGCAUUACGUUACGUUGAGCGUAUACGACAGCGACUCGCCCUCGCCAUUCGACUAAAGAGCGAAGGAGAGAAGGCGAGACUCUAGCGUCGUCUACGUGAAGAAGAGACUUUAUAUUACGUUGGCUGCGUUCCAAACUUCGUCCCGGAGGUACGAAUUUAACAAGCCGCAAAACAAGACGCGAAAUACGAGAAAUGCAGAGAAAAUACAUAGUUGGACGACUAUAUGAAACUAUAGACCCAUAUAAUUCCUUCUAGUAAUUUAUAUACGGCUAUCCGUUACACUCUCGGCCAUUAAGCAAGAAACAUCAAGUUUUGCGGACCUAAGAGAUUGUGAGAAAGUUUCUCAAAGAGAAAGAGAGAGGGGGAGAAAGAGAGAGAGAGAGAGAGAUGGCUGAAGGUGUCCAAAGUUCAAGGAAUACAUGUAAAAGUUUCAUGAUAAAUAAGGGGAAGUCCUAAUUGGAUAUCGUAUGCCUUAUUGAAUUAUUGUUAUAUAUAUAUACAUAUAAAAGCCGACAUUUCACUUGAGAAUUACGAUGACUUCCGUGAGGAAGUAGUCGUCACAGGAGACGAAGUUCUAGAACGCAGCUGUAGGAGAAUAAAACAGAAUUAUUACUACCGCGAGGUGUGCGCUUUGCUAUACGCCGGCACGCUGAUGAAUUCGUUCCGACCGGAUUCCUUCCAUUGAAACGUGUCACCGUCGUUUCCCUUUUUGUAACGAUAAUAUGUUGAAAACGAUUAAGAAAAGAUCUAUUCAAAAUUUCUUGCGCUUCCUUAGGAUAAGCGGAUUAGCGAAUAAUUAUGCACUGUGUAGUUCUGUCGUAGCUGUCAACCCGAAGGUUAUUCUCGCGCGUAGGCGAAAAUCAAGUAUACAUUUCUCGUUUGCAUUCUUGAAGUGAUUAACCGGGAACAAAGUUCUCAGCGGCGCGUGGCGUGCAGCACGUCGCCCCAUAGUCGCGUAAGACAAGGAGCUUGAAAACUCGCGAGUGCUGCCGAAUUGCCAAAUGUAACAAUCAAACAGUGUCUAGUUGGUAUAAAAUUCAAAAAGAGCCGAGGAUAAUCUAUUCGGAUAUACAUACGCGCGAAUAGAUAUGCGUGAAUGCGCGAUUGUGCGUGCGUGUGCGUGUGCCAAGUAGUUUAGCACAAUUUAGGCGGGCGGAACAUAUACAUAUGCAUACAUAUAUUAUAUAUACAUAUAUAAAUAGGGCGAGUGCGAGACUUUUUAGAGACUGUACACGAACGAGUCCGUGUCGAUUGAUUUUAGCAUCUAACGUUCGUACAAUCACGUGAACCUUUUCUCGGUGCCUUUCUGCUGCACUUCUUCCAUCGUCGUUUAGAAAAAUAUACACUCUCUUCACUAUCCUCAUCAACCAUUCUCUUUUCUAUCUCUCUUCUCUUAUACUGACUACUUUUUAGGAGGUGUUUCCGCGCGACGCCGCAAGAAAUCUGAACGUAUCAAAGUAAAAUCUUUUUUCUUCGCAUUUCUUCCUUUCAAUUUAAUCCUUUAGUUCUUUUAUCUCUAGCUAAAAGAAAGUCAAAUAGUAAAAAUAAUUUUAUUCAAGAGUGUCCAGAAAGUAAAGAACAAUAGCGACCGAACGCAUUAAUAAUAUAAAACUACUAUUUUUGAAAAAAAUUAUAUUAAUUAAAUGAAAAUUAUUAUCUUUGUCAAAGGUAGAAUUAAUUGUUAAUUUAAAAGAGUUAAAAAUAUAACAUUUCUUUCUUUUUUACUUUUUAAAUAUACUAGACAUUAUAUAUACUCAGAAUAUUUUUAACCCAUGACGUCUAUACAUUCAAACGCUGAAUAGCAAAUUUUUUUACGUGUUAGCGACUCUGUCGAUUAAGUUAAUUGGAAUUAAUUGAAGUGACCCUGAUGUCGAUUCUACCAAUGCGUAAAUUACUUUUAAUAAAUGACGUCACAAAUCUACAUAAGUAUCGUUCUGCCUUUGUUAUUUAUUAAAUGCUAAGAAAAAUAGAACGUUUGUUUGACACGCCUCAUUGGGUAUAUCCAUUAUAUAUUUAAAAGAUGCGUCAUAGGAAGUAGGUAAAGAGGGGCCAAGGAGUUAAAAGCAGUAAAUCGGUGUCUUUCGAUGCAAUGAAAACUUUGUGACAAAGUAGAUGUGUGAGCAGUUUUUGUAAAAAUUCUCUAUAACAACCCUCCACGAUGAACCGUGUUAAUCGCGAGAACGAGACUUGGACUUGGUGGGAGAACAUGCAAGAGAUAAAUGAUAACGAAACCAAGUGUAUAGCAAGAACGGCCUCAAAAACGGUACAGAGAUAUUCCGUCGACCGACACGAUGGGAUAACGGUGUUCAAUUACGAAAUUCGGAAAGAGUGAUACUUCGAAAGCAGACGUAAAUAUUGAAAUAUUUUCAGUCGCUAUCUCUUAUGGAUAUUUUGCGAUUAUUUAUACUUUUCAAAAACAUUGCACAAAAGCAUCGAUUAUAUAAUAAAUAUAAGACCUUACAUAAUAUUUAUAUAACUAAUAUUGUGUACUACGUAAAACUAAAAAGCAGUAAAACAAAAAAA
rnacentral:lncRNA from 1 species